AUGUAUCUUAAAAUAUCAUAGACACUUUAGGUUAUGAAUAUAUGAAAAUUUUAAAAUACAUCAAGUUAUAUAUAAAAGAUUAAUAGUAAAAAUGGAAUGGAUUAAUUACUCAAUAAUUGUUUGAACCUUACAAAUUAUGUUCACUCAUUUAAGUUGGCCUGUUUUGCAUAUUAGCCCAAAAGCGUUUUUCGUGUUAUUAAGUGACUAAACGUCACGACACAUUUCCUCUCCCUAUAACUCUUCUUAGUUAAUCACGGAUUCACAAUGGUCUUGUCCAUCUUCUUCUUAUCACUCUCUUCACCUUCUCAAUUCUCAUGGACUUCUCCUCUGUCAAACCUCUCGGCGGCUCACCUUCUCUGUCCUCAACGACCUCAUCGUCUACUCCUCACCAUUAUAAAUCCACCACGACACCUACCAUUAUUGUCGCCGCCAUCUCAGGAAUCUCCUCCAUUACAAUUCGAGAUCCGAUGCAUUCUUGGUGUGAAUCAGUCCCCAAGAAACAAUCUCGUAUCAUCUCUCCUCUCCGGCGGCUUCACUUCGGAAGACGACCAAGUUACCCUUGCCUCAUCUCUAGAGAAUUUAAAUCGACAUGCGUUAUAGUUAGAUUCUUCUCGCGCUGCUUACUCCUUUAACCUGAUUUCUCUUUGCAAUCCAGCUUCAUGUUCUUGAUCUGAUCCGCUUUGUCGAUGGCUAUACGAAAGUGAUCCUCUUUUGAUCCACCGCUUCGUCUUCCCUUCCUCUAGCAUGUGUACAAUAUUUGGAGGCCUCUGAUCCUUCUACUACAAAAAAAAAGCAAGAUGGAGGACUAAAUUGUGUAGAGAUUCCAUGAGUUUGUCUUCUUUUAGUCGGAUUACUGGAUGAGCAAGCACGAAGCUAACAUCCCUUUAUUCUUGUAAAGAUGCUAAACUGGAUUUGCAGCAGAUCCUGCUUCAUUACAUCAACAAAUGAAGAUCACAUUGUUUUCAGUUCCUUCUAAUUGCUUUCUCUUGAUCGAUGGUGCUUCUCGACCAUGUUUGGAAAGACCAUGCCUUGAGUUCGGAAACAUGUGUGAAACCAUCGGUGGCAGCCAUGACUUAUACGAAGGU